GAUGAAGAACGUAGUGAAAUGCGAUACGUAGUGUGAAUUGCAGAAUUCAGUGAAUCAUCGAAUCUUUGAACGCACAUUGCACCUCUCGGUAUUCCGGGAGGUAUGCCUGUUCGAGCGUCAUUUGUACCCUCAAGCUCUGCUUGGUGUUGGGUGUUUGUUCCGCCUCUGUGUGUGAACUCGCCUCAAAACAAUUGGCAGCCGGCGUACUUGUUUCGGAGCGCAGCUCAUUUUGCGAUCCAGAUCAACGUACAGCGGCAUCCAAGAAGCCUUAUUUAACGCUCUUGACCUCGGAUCAGGUAGGGAUACCCGCUGAACUUAAGCAUAUCAAUAAGCGGAGGA
rnacentral:misc_RNA from 1 species